rnacentral:rRNA from 1 species
UACGUAGGGUGCGAGCGUUGUCCGGAAUUAUUGGGCGUAAAGAGCUCGUAGGCGGUCUGUCGCGUCGAUCGUGAAAACUUGGGGCUUAACCCUGAGCUUGCGGUCGAUACGGGCAUGACUGGAGUUCGACAGGGGAGACUGGAAUUCCUGGUGUAGCGGUGAAAUGCGCAGAUAUCAGGAGGAACACCGGUGGCGAAGGCGGGUCUCUGGGCAGUAACUGACGCUGAGGAGCGAAAGCGUGGGGAGCGAACAGG